UUGAACGCUGGCGGCAGGCCUAACACAUGCAAGUCGAGCGGAUGAAGGGAGCUUGCUCCUGGAUUCAGCGGCGGACGGGUGAGUAAUGCCUAGGAAUCUGCCUGGUAGUGGGGGAUAACGUCCGGAAACGGGCGCUAAUACCGCAUACGUCCUGAGGGAGAAAGUGGGGGAUCUUCGGACCUCACGCUAUCAGAUGAGCCUAGGUCGGACUAGCUAGUUGGUGGGGUAAAGGCCUACCAAGGCGACGAUCCGUAACUGGUCUGAGAGGAUGAUCAGUCACACUGGAACUGAGACACGGUCCAGACUCCUACGGGAGGAAGCAGUGGGGAAUAUUGGACAAUGGGCGAAAGCCUGAUCCAGCCAUGCCGCGUGUGUGAAGAAGGUCUUCGGAUUGUAAAGCACUUUAAGUUGGGAGGAAGGGCAGUAAGUUAAUACCUUGCUGUUUUGACGUUACCAACAGAAUAAGCACCGGCUAACUUCGUG
rnacentral:rRNA from 1 species